rnacentral:lncRNA from 1 species
CUGAGCACCACAUAAACUUCAGAAAUGCCUCCUGAGCUCAUCUACUACCACACUAUAAAUACCUUAAGAUAACUGAGAAUUUAUCCUUUCUUUUCAUUUUGCAAAUAUUAAACAGUUACAAUACUAUUUACUAAGCAUUGUGGUAGGUACUAAAAGAUAGCAGGCAAAACAAGAACAAGAAGAGUCUACUUUUAUUAGUUUGCACUUACCAGGAAGAUAAGAAACAUGCGCAAUUUAGUAAUGCAUUGUGUUCCAAUGUGCUCAAGGAAAAUAAAGCAGAGAAGGGAGAUAGGAAGCUUGAAGAUGUACAUGUUUAAAUAGGGUGGUCAUGCUGGGCAUGCUGGUGCACACCUGUAAUCCCAGCAGUUCUGGAGGCCAAGGCAGGAGGAUCGGGAGUUCAAAGCCAGCCUCAGCAAAUUAAUGAGGUCUUAAGCAACUCAGCAAGACCCUGUCUCUAAAUAAAAUAUUAAAAAGGGAUGAGGGUGUGGCUCAGUGGUUAAGCACCCCUGAGUUCAAUCUUCAGUACCAAAAUAAAAAUAAUUUUUAAAUAAUAAACAAGGUCUUGGUGGAAAAAAGAGGUAAGGUCUUUUUAAAUCAUCCAAUGAUCAUCUUAAAGGUUAAUGGUUCUUACCAUUGGCAUGAAUCCCUAGGUUUCAUGAUCAUGUUCAUCACCAUGAUCCGCCUUCCCUUGGGUCAUGGGAGCCCUGCCUCCUCUCUGGAUGUACCUAGAAGGGAGAGAUGCGGACCACACAGCUCUGUAUGGUAGCUCUUCCCCAAUGGGCAGGGGACCAAGUUCAUGCUCACCUCUCAACCCCAUACCUCCACUGAACUGCUUACCCCUUCACUUUUCUGGUCCUUUGGGUCUCUCCUCCAAAUCCCUGUACCUGUUUUCAUAUUGGAUUGCUAACUGACACCUAGAGAAAAAUACGGCCAGAGCUCAGGGACUGAGUGGAAAAUUCCCCCUAGUUCCACAGUGCUACUUUCUUCCUCAGUUUGCUGGUCUCUGCUCUGUUCAUCUUUUUAACCAAAUUCUAAGAAUAACUUAAUAAUAAUGGUCAGACUGGUUUACCAUUUAUUGUAUACCUAACAUGUGCCAGUUAAGCAGUGUCUAGGCAUUUCCUCACUUAAUGAUCCCCCAAAUUAUGAGGAAGGUACCAGAUCAGACUUAUCUCUCUUUGCAAAGAAGGAAAUUGAGGCGCAGAUAGCUUAAAUAUUAUGCUUAGGGCUACAAACACAACAAAUGGCACAGCCUGAUUCCAUAGCACCUCUUUAUGCUUUUUUCUAGCCAGUUGAAUUUAACUAGUAUUUUUGGUACCCUUGAAUAUAGGAUAGAUCUAAACCAUUUAAAUAUUAUUUGCAAGUACUCUCACACAGGUGGGUAGUCAACCUCUCAAGUUGUUUUCCUCCAUCCUGAUUCCAAAUGGCUUAUUUGGUGAAGAUCUAUUUUAAACUUCAAAAAUUACCACUAUUGGGGCUGGGGUUGUAGCUCAAUGGUAGAGAGUUUGUUUAGCAUGUGUGAGGCACUGGGUUCAAUCCUAAGCACCACAUAAAAAAUAAAUAAAUAAAGUUAUUGUGUCCAUCUACAACUAAAAAUUAUUUUUUUAAAAAAUUAUCAUUUUUCUCAUCAAGAAAAGAGAAGCAUUUUCCUUUGCUCUCUCUCUCUGUUCCUUGCACUUUUAAAGAAUAGUUCUUUGCCUCUUUUCAUAUUGUUUAUUUUCCUAAGAAGCCUCUCAUUCCCUGCUUUGGUAUCUAGGGCACAACUUUCAGUCACAUUCAUUUUUAGACACCGUAUUUUAUUAAUUAUUACCAUGAUAUAAAUAAACAUGUACUACUAAACAGUUCUGCUGGCAAUGAGAAGGACUUGUGAAAAUAAAUUUUAUUUGCUCUCCUGAAAAA